UAACUUUUGAAGUGAUAAGAGAGUGGCCCAUUACAGACAGUUGACAAGAAGGUAUGAGUAACAGUAGGGAGAAAUUAGUAAUGGGCUUAGAGUGCGGAGCAAAACAUACUGCCCUAACAUUCAUUUCAAUAGUAUCAAUUUUAUGCUAUGAUUUCUAUAGGGGGUACAUUUUCAUGAGACAGCAAAUUAUAAUGUGGAGAUUUUGUGACCUUACACUAGUUUAAUUUAUGACACUUUAAUUCUUUUCUUAGCAGUACCUUUUCCAGGAAUAAAUACAGUAAUCAUAACAAUAAAAUAAGUUACUCUCAUUUAUUUGAACUGACAUGCCCUAUUGUUGUUUCUUCUUGCAUAAGUAGUCAUAUCAACAUGUCAUGUUAUAUUGUUUCCUCUUUUUGCUCCAAUAAUAAUAAAAAGAAAUUUUAAAUAACUCUAAUGCUGCCAACACCUCAUCCCAGAUGAUAUAUGUAUCACUUCCUGGAUGCGUCCCUUAGAUGGAGGAAAAGCCCCAGGAGAAAAUGUGCUUGUCAGAGGGUGUCAAGUUCCAGGACCUACAUAGAGAUGCAGUCCUUUUGUGUUCACUGUGUCCACAUCAAUGCACCUAAGGAAACUAUAGCUACUGAAUGAACUAAUUCUUUAUGAAUGGUAAAUAAUGAUGGAGUGAAACUAUUUGAAGAUAACUUUCAUUGGACUUGAAACACCAACUGCAUCUGCCACAUAUCACCCACAGUAUCAGCUUCGUCAAUGAAAUAUCCUGACUACCCUGCCUGUAUCAGUUCCCCAGAGGCCAUCUUUGACUCCUUCUCUGGCUGUGCUUGCACAGAUGUCAACUGUGGAUAAAGAUAGCUCUAGAAAGAAACAGAUGAAGGAACUGC